AUCCAGAUGAAGAGCAUGAAAUAGGACGAAACGCGUGUCCUGGAU
rnacentral:hammerhead_ribozyme from 1 species